rnacentral:rRNA from 1 species
AUGGACAUGAACAGUGGCUGGCUCGGCUUCUCCUUGUCUUCCUCUUCUUAUGCCGCCAGGGGCUACGACGCCGGCGAGGGAGUGGGGUGCGAUGGUGGUGACGGUGGCUCUUGCUCGUCGCCCACCGCGGUGGCGGCGUCUUCUUCGCCCAUCGUAGGCGUGCCGUUGCACUCUGGCGGCGGCUCUGGGCAGUACGACGGCCGAGAUUGGAGGCAUCAGCACGCAGAAGCCAAAGGCCCCAAGCUGGAGGACUUCCUGAGCGUCGGCUACGGCAACGACAGGAGCAGCGGCAUCUACGACGCCAGCCACGCCGACGAGCUCAAGUACCACCACCACCAGGACGUCCAUCACGCGUAUCCAGGCUCGCCCUACUUCCAGGGCAAUGGCGGCGGUGGCGCCGUCAUCGGGCUGGACAUCAACAACGCGCCGCCGCCGCCACACUGCACCGGCCUCCCGGACCACCACUACAUGCCGGCGCACCACGGCCAGUACUCGCUGUGCCCGCCGAACCAACAAGCUGCAGGCACGGGGGCGAUGGCGGCGGCGCCAAUGUACAGCUCGGCGGCGGGCUUCGACGGCAGCACCAACAUGUCGAUCUCUGGCAUCAAGUCCUGGCUCCGGCAGUCGAUGUACGUCCCAGAGCGGUCGCCGGCGGUGCCUCCAUCCGUGCACUCCGCCCCGACCGAGCCGCCGCCGCCGCUGCCGGCGCCGUGCGUCCCCGUCCCUCGCAAGCUCGCGCAGACGUUCGGGCAGAGGACGUCGCAGUUCCGCGGCGUCACCAGGCACAGGUGGACGGGGAGGUACGAGGCUCACCUGUGGGACAACACCUGCAGGAAGGAAGGCCAGACCAGGAAAGGAAGGCAAGUUUACCUAGGUGGGUAUGACAAGGAGGAGAAGGCCGCGAGGGCUUAUGAUCUGGCAGCGCUCAAGUACUGGGGGCCAACGACUCACAUAAAUUUCCCGUUAAGCACCUACGAGAAGGAGCUGGAGGAGAUGAAGCACAUGACAAGGCAGGAGUUCAUUGCGCACUUAAGAAGGAACAGCAGUGGCUUCUCGAGGGGAGCAUCCAUGUACAGAGGAGUGACCAGGCAUCACCAGCACGGCAGAUGGCAGGCCAGGAUUGGGAGGGUGGCAGGGAACAAGGACCUAUACCUGGGAACCUUCAGUACGCAGGAGGAGGCGGCGGAGGCGUACGACAUCGCGGCGAUCAAGUUCCGCGGGCUGAGCGCCGUCACCAACUUCGACAUCAGCAAGUACGACGUGAAGCGCAUCUGCGCCAGCUCGCACCUCAUCGGCGGGGACCUCGCCUGCAGGCGCUCCCCGACGCGCGACGCGCCGGCGCUGCCCAGCGGCGUGAGCGUCGCCGUGGAGCGCCCCGAGGCCGGCGCGUCCGACAACAGCUCCGACGCCUCGGACGGCCACCGCGGCGCGCACCUGCUGCACGGCCUCCAGUACGCGCACGCCAUGAAGUACGAGGCCGGCGAGGGCAGCAACGGCGGAGGGAACUGGAUGCCAGGCGCGGCCCGGCCGGUCGCCGGCGUCCCCGCCGCGCACCCGCUCCCGGUGUUCGCGCUCUGGAACGACUGA